rnacentral:lncRNA from 1 species
AGUUGUGUCAAUGAAAUGGUGACGUCUCUUCCCAUUCAUUCUAAACCUAUCUCCCCUAUUAAGCGAGACAACGGUCGAGUUCAUUUCGCUUCGCUGCAUCUUCGGACGUUACUGCCUGACGUAAUUCUCGAUGGUGAGUCAGCCACUUCCUCUCCUGGAAAGAACCUGACAAACUUUUUGCAUGGGACCGUACAUGUGAUAAAUGAUGAAAUUAGGAGGAAAAUCUCAUAUCUCUGCAUUAUAGCUUCAACUGUUGUGAUCAACAUAUUUUUGUUUUUAUGUAAGUCAGGGAUUGCCUGUAUUUAUUAACAUAACCCAUAUCCUAUAGGGAUUAUAUUAAAAUAUUGAGCCUAGGAAAAUACAAGUUUCCCCCACUGUACAAAGAUUCAUUUUAUGCCAUUUCAUUUUUACAAAAGACGUACAUUUGUAUCUGUUUUCAUUAACAAAGAAAUCUGAAGAGGAUUUUUGGUUUUACAAAAAUAGGCAAAAUAUGAAAAUAGUGCUCAGCAUUUACUUUGAAGAAAAUCAUUAUGAUGGUAACAUACACUCUGUUCAGCAAGAGUAGUGCUAUCAAAUUCCUACCCCAGAACUACAAUCAAAUCUAAUUGCUAUAACUUUGAACUACAUCUGUGAGCAUCUGUGCUUUAUUCUUGAUUUAUAUUGUACAUCCAUUUGCAAGAUGUCUUAAAGUAUCAGAA